UACAGAGGUCCCGAGCGUUGUUCGGAUUCACUGGGCGUAAAGGGUGCGCAGGUGGGUUGGCAAGUUUGAUGUGAAAGCCCCGGGCUUAACCCGGGAAUGGCAUUGAAUACUGCUGAUCUGGAGGAUCGGAGGGGGGACUGGAAUUCUUGGUGUAGCAGUGAAAUGCGUAGAUAUCAAGAGGAACACCAGUGGCGAAGGCGAGUCCCUAGACGAUACCUGACACUGAGGCACGAAAGCCAAGGGAGCAAACAGG
rnacentral:rRNA from 1 species